UGGCAUUUGGGAUUACAGC
rnacentral:miRNA from 1 species